CUGUUGAUAGCUCAGCUGGUAGAGUGGAGGACUGUAGACAUAACUUCAUGGCUAUCUUUAGGUCACUGGUUCGAUUCCGGCUUAAAGGA
rnacentral:tRNA from 1 species